UGUCUGGCUCGGCGGCCGCCCGCUCCCGCGGCGGCUCCUGCGGCCUCCAGCGCUUCGUCCGCGCUCUGCAAGGGCCGGAGCCCUGGUCGCGCCUCCUUCCCAGGCUGGGCCCGUGGGGCCUGGCUGCCGUGUCCCCACCCCGCCCCCAGGGGCCCGCGGGCGUCGCUGGCUUGGGUUGCCCCGGCGGUGCGACCUCUUAUGCCGCGGCUCGGGAUGGUUGGCGUUUUUCGGAAAGCCUCAGCUCCGGGAGUCCUGUGAUUAUGUGAGACUCUUGGCUUUUCGUUUCUCUUCAAAAACAUUUGGUGAUGAACUCAUGGGAUCUGGAUUUCUGUCCUGUCAUGUGAUGGUCGGCGGAUGGUGACCUUUGAAAAGGACCAGGCUACAUUGAUGUGUUAAGGUAACACUGGCAGCUGGUUCAUAGUGUUCUCCGAGUCCAGUUUUUACAAUUCCAUGCCGAAAAAAAGGAGGUGUGUCCACUUCAAGAGAGCAGGGACAUCCCAGGCCCGCAUGGAUUCCUGAAGCUGCCAUUGGUUCGGAGGACAGAAGUGGUGAUGCAAAGUUUUCAAAGGGGAGGAAACAUCAGGAUAAUACAUUAGAGCAGAGCUGCAGCUCUGCUAGAAUGCAGGUCGAGAGUCACUUACUGUUUAAAAGAUGCUUAUUCUAAGUGCUCUAAAACCCACCUGGUGAUUCACAGGGCCCUGAAAUUUGCUGCGUGCCAUUAGAGGUGCAGAGUGAGGAUAGUGGUCCAAAUUUGGGGUCAUUUGAGUAAGGGGUUCCCGAGAUAGAGCCCACUAAAAAGCCACAUCUUUACAAAAUCACUUGGUGGUUCUAACGUUUUUUGUGCACCCUGAGGGCUCACAUUAUUGCUGUGAUCCUCCUCACACUGAUCUUUUUAGUAUAAAAAGUCACUUGCUUGGUGCACUGGAGAGCUCUGAACAGAGUCAGCUAAUAUGAGAGCUUCAGAGGGAAUUGUUGUGGACUCUGUGCAUGGAGGUAGCAGGACUUGGGGAGUGGUUCAUUUGGUCCCUCUGUUGGGGGUUUGUUUGAUUUUGUUCCCUGUGUGUGAAUGGUGUCGCUUGGCUGCGUAAGGACCAAAGACAGGUCUGUUUGUUGGUGUCUUGGUAAAGGCUGCAAGGCUCUCACCCUGGGAGCUUUGAUCAGCCCUGCUGUUUGAAGUUGGGGUGGGGGGUGAGGAGACUGGAGCUGAUAUGCACCACUGGUUCAAGGCUCGGUUCUUCCAAGGGAGGUCUAGUGAUGAGACGGGGAUGCAGCAGGCAGGGCUGCUCUGCAGUGCUCCCUUCAGGGACACAAGCAGUACAGCGUCCGGUUUCCCCUGCCCCCUUAGUCUGCAGCCUUUGGCCACCUGCCUGAGGCUGGGUAGCCUGCACCAUAAGCUUGGCAUCAGUCUCUAAACAAAAAUAGCAACUCUGGAGUCAGCUGUCUGCACUUUUAAACACACGCGUAGUUUCGGCACUUAAGGCCAGGCCUUGGCCUGGGUCAGCACUGAAGGGCUCCUUCCCAUCCCAAUCUCACCCACCUCUGCCCCUGAGCAAAAAUAGGCAAGCCUUCUUAAUGGGCCCGGUGGUUCCUGAUUGGUAAAUAUUUGCUCCUGGCACAUAUAGGCCUCUGGAGGACUGUCUCGUUGGUUGCCCAAUCCGAGUGGAUUUUCCUUGGGCAGGGAGUGUCUGGGUGCUGGUGUCUCCAGAGAAAGCCUGAUAGACCCCAUCACAGGGUUCACUGUAGAAGGAGGAAACUACAGCAUCUCAGCUACCGCUCUGGUACCUGUUGGCAAAAGGUGACCUUUUAAUGACAGCCCAGAUUCAGGCCCACCAGUGUCAGCUGGAGCCCAGGGUGCUCAGCAUCCCCCUCCCCACAGGAUUAUGGGCCGUGACCAGAGCAGGCUCUCCCUGCGCCAGUAGGACUGCGAUGGCGGCAGCAGGCGGGCAGGGCGCUGAGUGCCACCAGCUCCCCACCCUGGGGAGAGGGAGAGGCCCACAGGGAGGCGCUGAUUGAUGGGCUGGCAGUGCGUCCCAGGCCUGCGCCAGCCACUCUGCCACCGCAACAGGGAGCGUGACGCAGCCCCCCACCUCCUGUGGGUAUCCCGGCCACAGAUAUCCCCUGCAGGACCCCUCAAUACCUUCUCCAGUGCCCCACAAUAUCCCUCCCAGUACACACCCACCCUUCCAGCACCCCCCAAAUAUCCACUCCAAUGCCCUCCCAUACCCCCUCCCAGUAGAGAGACACCCCUUCAGCAGCCCCCUAACUGUACCCUCCCCGCAGCAGUGUCCUCUAUUUGGAACUUGAAAUAUGGUAACCCUAGGGGUGGCUCCGUUCUUACGGCCUCGGGUUCCAGUGCAGGUGGGAGCAAGUUCGCCCUGCCAGCAGCAGCCGCCUGCUCCCGGUGGCUGGGCUGGGCACCACAGCCAACCUCGGGCUGUGUGACCGUGAGCCUGGCAGCCCUGGCCUGGGACAGGGAAGCCAAUGGGAGCAAGGGACGGUUCCGCUCUGCACAUAAGGCAUGUGGGGAGAGUGACUCAGUUGCAGUGGGAGGUCCCUGGGUGGCGAGCAGGGUGUGACUGGGCAGCUGAGAGGCAGGGGCCCAAGGGGGAUGAGUACUGCAGGGAGCAUCAUAGGGAGCAGCUCAUGACAGCUGAGUUCUGUGGGCAGGGGCCGGCUCCAGCGGUUGCGUUGGCCAGCGCCGGGCUUCUUCGGGACAGAGCCAAGAGCGUGUCAGGGGCGCACCUUGGAGCUGUGUCGCCCCCCCUGCCUGGGGAGCAGUCAGCCGUGCAGAAGUGGCCCGGCUUGGGAAGCAGGGCAGGGAGGGCUGCCGGGCAGCCAGCCACUGCGCCGACUCCCAAAGUGCGGAAACCCAGGGGCCCAAGCAUCUCCCAUCAGCUUCUGAUCUGCCGGCUCCAGGUAGGAGGCAGUGGUUUUCAAACUGUGGGGUGCGUUCCCCUAGGAAGGCAUACCCUACAGUUUGAAAACCAUUGUGCUAAACGGAAAGCAGAAAUCUGGGGGGGGGGGACAUGACCCCACAUGUCCCCCGCCCCUCAUGUCACCUUUAGGGGGUGCAAAUGUGCUUGCUCACCCCAGGUGGUAAAAUGCUUAGUUAUUGCUCUGGAAGAGCACUACCGAUUGCAUCCCCAACACUUGCUGCAGCAGUUUCUCUCUGCUCCUUGGAGAACUCCUGUCCUGAUACGGAGUAGGCAUGUCUUGGCUUAGCAGGGAAGAUCUAACCGGAUCACAGCGCCAGGUGAGAUAGCUGCAGGCAGGCACUGGGGUGCCAAUGUUUGUUGAAGGCACCUCAUACCAAACAUAGGGGCAGUGAGUGCAUUUGCUUGGAUAAUAAGGACUGCACAAACAGGCCUUUAGUUUUUUACUUUGACACAAUGACACCAAAAUAACAAGCGGAUUUUAAAAAGAACAUGUAGAACAACCAACAAAGUGUUACCAAAGCAGCUACCUCUGACUGCACCACCUACCACCCCACACUGGAACCCAUAUGGGGUCUCAUCAAACAAUUACAAUCCAUACUCGAUGGAGACCCCAUCCUGAAAGAAAUCUUUCCUGAACCUCCUCUUCUGGCCUUCAAACAACCCCCAACCUCAUCAGCAGAAGCAAGCUCCGAGGGUGGAUUUGAUUUAAAUCAAAUUGAUUUAAAUCACUAGUCAGGAAGACUCGAUUUAAUCAUGGAUUUCUACAUAAAGUGCAUUCCUGUUGGUUGUUAUAACCUUAAUUCAUAUUCUUCA